CCCGUUUAUUGGAGGCCUUGCCUGCUAGUGACAACUGUUUACGGCCGCGGUAUCCUGACCGUGCAAAGGUAGCAUAAUCAUUUGUUCUCUAAAUAAGGACUUGUAUGAAUGGCCCCACGAGGGUUUUACUGUCUCUUACUUCCAAUCAGUGAAAUUGACCUUCCCGUGAAGAGGCGGGAAUGCACAAAUAAGACGAGAAGACCCUAUGGAGCUUUAACUAACCAACCCAAAGAGAAUAGAUUUAACCAUUAAGGAAUAACAACAAUCUCCAUGAGUUGGUAGUUUCGGUUGGGGUGACCUCGGAGAAUAAAAAAUCCUCCGAGCGAUUUUAAAGACUAGACCCACAAGUCAAAUCACUCUAUCGCUCAUUGAUCCAAAAACUUGAUCAACGGAACAAGUUACCCUAGGGAUAACAGCGCAAUCCUAUUCAAGAGUCCAUAUCGACAAUAGGGUUUACGACCUCGAUGUUGGAUCAGGACAUCCUGAUGGUGCAACCGCUAUCAAAGGUUCGUUUGUUCAACGAUUAAAGUCCUACGUGAUCUGAGUUCAGACCGGACUCUAUUAGGAAUAAUGCCCUCCUCUGUUGGAUAUCACCCAACUUUAAGUACAAAUAUGGCUCCUCUUUCACGGAAAAA
rnacentral:rRNA from 1 species